rnacentral:rRNA from 1 species
UACGGAGGAUGCAAGCGUUAUCCGGAAUGAUUGGGCGUAAAGGGUCCGCAGGUGGCAAUGUAAGUCUGCUGUCAAAGAAUGAGGCUCAACCUCAUCAAGGCAGUGGAAACUACGUAGCUAGAGUACGGUCGGGGUAGAAGGAAUUCCUGGUGUAGCGGUGAAAUGCGUAGAUAUUGGGAGGAACACCAGUGGCGAAGGCGGCUCGCUGGACCGGUUCUGACGCUGAGGCGCGAAAGCGUGGGGAGCAAACGGG